UAAAGUAUGAAAAGGGCGUUUAGUGGAUGCCUUGGCAUUGAGAGGCGAUGAAGGACGUAGCACGUUGCGAUAAGCUUCGGGGAGUUGCGAGCAGACUUUGAUCCGAAGAUUUCCGAAUGGGGAAACCCGACUCUUUAGAGUCAUCACAGUGUGAAUACAUAGCACUGUGAAGCAAACCUAGUGAACUGAAACAUCUAAGUAGCUAGAGGAAAGGACAUCAACAGAGACUCCGUUAGUAGUGGCGAGCGAAAGCGGAUGAGGCCAGUGUUGGUAUAAUAAUAACCAGAAUUAGUUGGAAAACUAAGCCAUAGUAGGUGAUAGCCCUGUAUGGGUAAAAAGUUAUACCAAUCUUGAGUAGAACGGGACACGUGAAAUCUUGUUUGAACAUGGGGGGACCACCCUCCAAGCCUAAGUACUCCUCAGUGACCGAUAGUGAACUAGUACCGUGAGGGAAAGGUGAAAAGCACCCCAAGUAGGGGAAUGAAAUAGUAUCUGAAACCGAACGCCUACAAUCAGUAGGAGCCUCUUAUGAGGUGACUGCGUACCUUUUGUAUAAUGGGUCAGAGACUUAAUUUUAUGUGCGAGCUUAAGCCGUUAGGUGUAGGCGCAGCGAAAGCGAGUUUUAAAAGAGCGUUUAGUUCAUAGGAUUAGACCCGAAACCGAGUGAUCUAGCUAUGGGUAGGUUGAAGGCACGGUAACACGUGCUGGAGGACCGAACCCACGUAUGUUGAAAAAUGCGGGGAUAACCUGUGGCUAGGGGUGAAAGGCCAAGCAAACUCGGAAAUAGCUGGUUCUCCGCGAAAACUAUUUAGGUAGUGCGUUGUGUUUAGGUUGUCGGGGGUAGAGCACUGGAUAGGGAAUGGGGGAGCGAUCCUUACUGACCCUAACCAAACUCCGAAUACCGAUUAACUUUGCACAGCAGACAGACUAUGGGUGCUAAGGUCCAUAGUCGAAAGGGAAACAGCCCAGACCACCAGUUAAGGUCCCCAAGUUAUGGUUAAGUGGGAAAGGGAGUAGAAAGUCCAAUACAACCAGGAGGUUGGCUUAGAAGCAGCCAUUCCUUUAAAGAAAGCGUAACAGCUCACUGGUCUAAAUAAGUCUUUCCGCACCGAAGAUGUAACGGGGCUAAAACCAUACACCGAAACUGUGGACACUCUUUUUGAGUGUGGUAGCGGAGCGUUCCGUAAGCCGUUGAAGUUGUGUUGUAAAGCAUGAUGGAGGUAUCGGAAGUGAGAAUUCUGACAUGAGUAGCGAUUAAUAGUGUGAGAAACACUAUCGCCGUACAUCCAAGGGUUCCUGCGCCAGGUUAAUCCGCGCAGGGUAAGCCGGCCCCUAAGGCGAGGGCGAAAGCCGUAGUCGAUGGGAACCAGAUUAAUAUUUCUGGGCCUGCUAGAAGUGACGAAUGUUAAACUUUGUUUUUUCUUAUCGGAUUGAAAAAGCAGAUAAGAUGUUCCAGGAAAUAGCUCUAGCAUAUAGACCGUACCCCAAACCGACACAGGUGGAUGAGUAGAGCAUACUAAGGCGUUUGAGAGAACGAUGUUGAAGGAACUCGGCAAAUUACUCUCGUAACUUCGGGAUAAGAGAGCCUUAAGUUUGGGCAACCAUUCUUAAGGGACACAAACCAGGGGGUAGCGACUGUUUACUAAAAACACAGGGCUCUGCAAAGUCUUUAAGACGAAGUAUAGGGUCUGACGCCUGCCCGGUGCCGGAAGGUUAAAGUGAUGUGUGCAAGCAUUGAUCUGAAGCCCCGGUAAACGGCGGCCGUAACUAUAACGGUCCUAAGGUAGCGAAAUUCCUUGUCGGGUAAGUUCCGACCCGCAUGAAUGGCGUAACGACUUCCCCACUGUCUCCAACAUUGACUCAGCGAAAUUGAACUCUCCGUGAAGAUGCGGAGUACCCGUGGUUAGACGGAAAGACCCCGUGCACCUUUACUAUAGCUUCGUAGUGGUAUCAGUAAAUUAUUGUGUAGGAUAGGUGGGAGACUUGAAGUAGAGCG
rnacentral:rRNA from 1 species